rnacentral:rRNA from 1 species
GCUCAGAAACUACAAAGGAAUUGACGGGGGCCCGCACAAGCGGUGGAGCAUGUGGUUUAAUUCGAUGAUACGCGAGGAACCUUACCUGGGCUCAAAUGUAUGUUGACGUAUUCUGAAAGGGAUACUUCUUCGGACAAUAUACAAGGUGCUGCAUGGUUGUCGUCAGCUCGUGCCGUGAGGUGUCGGGUUAAGUCCCAUAACGAGCGCAACCCCUAUCAUUAGUUGCCAUCAGGUCAAGCUGGGGACUCUAAUGAAACUGCCUACGCAAGUAGUGAGGAAGGUGGGGAUGACGUCAAAUCAGCACGGCCCUUACGUCCAGGGCUACACACGUGCUACAAUGGCCGGUACAAAGGGCAGCUACCUGGUGACAGGAUGCUAAUCUCAAAAGCCGGUCUCAGUUCGGAUUGCAGUCUGCAACUCGACUGCAUGAAGUUGGAAUCGCUAGUAAUCGCGGAUCAGCCAAGCCGCGGUGAAUACGUUCCCGGGCCUU